GGUACGGGUGAGUAAUGUCUGGGAAACUGCCUGAUGGAGGGGGAUAACUACUGGAAACGGUAGCUAAUACCGCAUAACGUCGCAAGACCAAAGAGGGGACCUUCGGGCCUCUUGCCAUCAGAUGUGCCCAGAUGGGAUUAGCUUGUUGGUGGGGUAACGGCUCACCAAGGCGACGAUCCCUAGCUGGUCUGAGAGGAUGACCAGCCACACUGGAACUGAGACACGGUCCAG
rnacentral:rRNA from 1 species